AAAAUUAUAAAUAUUAUUAUCUCUUCCAAGGCAUGAAAGCCUAUAAAAUGUUACAGAGAAAAAGAAAGGAAAAAGAAAUGAAAAAGAAAGGAAAAAGGAAAGAAUAAUCAAGCUUCUGCGAUCCAAGGUGUUGCAUCCUGGUCUUCCACCAAAGCCCCAGAUGAAGCAACUUUGAAGGGGUUCAAUCCUUCAAUGUAGAUAUGAACG
rnacentral:lncRNA from 1 species